rnacentral:rRNA from 1 species
UACGAAGGGGGCUAGCGUUGCUCGGAAUCUCUGGGCGUAAAGGGUGCGUAGGCGGGUUUUUAAGUCAGAGGUGAAAUCCUGGAGCUCAACUCCAGAACUGCCUUUGAUACUGAAAGUCUUGAGUAUGGGAGAGGUGAGUGGAACUGCGAGUGUAGAGGUGAAAUUCGUAGAUAUUCGCAAGAACACCAGUGGCGAAGGCGGCUCACUGGCCCAUUACUGACGCUGAGGCACGAAAGCGUGGGGAGCAAACAGG